rnacentral:lncRNA from 9 species
GGGAGGGGGCAGGGUCACAGGGAUGGGGUGGUAGGCCAGGCCAGGCCCAGAGCUUUGCUCAGGACCUUGGGCUUUAGUCUGUGUGCAUGGGAGCUACUGGAUGUCUUAAAACAGAAGAGAACAUGGUCAUUUGUUAUAUUUUAGAUGGCUUGCUCUGCAAAGUGUAUUUGAAGAGUUCCUUGGCGUGGAGUCAGGAUAACAGGAAAGAAAACCCGCCCUUUGCUGCUUGGUGUGGAGUCCAUUCGUUGGUGCAGGCAUCGGUUCAUCCAGGUAGUUUUAAGGAACAUCAGUGUCAUGCUGGCUGGGUGCUGAAGAUGUGACGGAAAAUGAAAACAACAGGGUCCCAUCCCUAUAGAGAAGGCACUUCCAGCUGGAUGCACAAUGAAGACCUAGAAAAAGAUAAAACACCACAAAACUGCUUGGAGAGAGAUUUGGAACAUGCCACAAGCAGCCUGGGGAUGGCCCAUGAUGAGAUCCGCAGGCUCGCCACCAAGGAACUGCAAGGCCAGGGGGAAGAGCAGCGCAAAUUAGAUUCUGCAUUUGAGGAGUCUCAACUAGAAGUUGAGAAAUUAAAAGAACUUUUUAAAAAGCUGAAAGAAAAUGGUGAGACAUUUUAACAGAUAUAGCAAUAUUUAAUAGUAAAAUAUUAAACAAUAAUAUUUAUAUAAUGUUUUA